rnacentral:sRNA from 1 species
AGAGAAAGUAUUUUUGCACAUCAUUUUUUUAUUUACACAAAACUGGAGCUGAGUACGGAAUGAAACACCAUGAAAUUUGGACAUUUGUUUGUUGUCAUCAAGAAACUAGAAUACAUUGAAUGACCAAAUAGUACAAAGAAAACUGAUCAAAACAAAUAGACAAGAAAAUGAUUUACACAUGAUGCAAAAAAAACAACAACAUUGCUUGAAAACAACAGCCAACUAUUUCAACCCAUUUGAUGAGAUCAUCAAACAUGGGAGAUCACUCAGAGCAAAAAUAUUUCACUUCUAACAGUUGACUAGGAAAUAAACACAUAAAAAAAAAACUUUACACAAAAAAUAAAAAUAAAUUAAGAUCUUUGGUAAAACCAGUGUAUUGUACACAGAGAUUUGGUGUGUACAUAUAUUUGAUAAAACAAAAGUUAAAAUUGAUAGUGUAGAAUUUUGUUUAGUUUAAAAUAAAAUGACAUGUCCAAAAAAUAAGUCUGUUAACUUGAAUGAAUAUUCUAAUUGUUUUUGUACUAUUUUGAAUGUCCAAUUAGUUAAGAAUUUAAACUGAAAACUAAAACACAAAAAUCACAACCAUGUAAGAAACAGGGAUAACAAAAAAAAACAAACAUAUUCCUGCCAAGUACUGUAGGUAUUGACAAGUACUGUAGGGUACUGACAAUUAGGACUUGUGCUGUCACUCAAGUCUACACAAUCAUUAUCAUAAGUCUAAGAUUGCAUCAUAGCUAGCUGUCACUUAAGUUCUUAUCUGUUACUAAUUAACCAAAUAAUUGUAUUUGAAGUGAAAUUUGUUUCAACCAGCUGGUCCUACACUGAACAAUAUUUUGUACAUAUUUUUGUUUCAUUUCAAAGUGAGAUACUGUUGUUCUUUUCAACUUGAUAGUCUAGUGCUUAUCUCAAUGAAUAAUUCACUUGGUUACAAAAGCUAAGAACUAAUGAGUGGAAACUGAAGUAUCAUUUUCAGAGUAGAUGAAACAGCCAAAUGAUAGAUGUCAAGAAGUUUCUGAUCUUUGGUAGCAUUCCAAAGAAAUAGUGAGAAACUAGUUGACCAAGUGUCUGAAUACUGGAUGAAAACUUUCAUUCAACAGAACCUCUACAUCUGUACAAGUGAUCCAAAGGAAAUGAUAUUUUAUUAUGACUUGACUUAAUGUGAUUCACAUAUACAACAUAAACCAUAAUAAGUAAUCAAAGAAAUUGAAUAACCAAAGAAACAUUAAGAGAAGAACAUGACAAGCAAUUGAUCAUGUGACUUUGUAGAUCCAGGAGCAUUGAAGACUUCACUGAAAACGUGAUGUCCAUAAAAGUAGACAUACAGCUACUCAAACCUGUACAAACACAUACACAGGAAGUAGUUCAUCAUGAGGUCUACUUUCUUCUCCAGCUAGUCCCUAAACGGAUUUCACAGCCAGACAGGUGACUUAAUACAGCCACACAGGUGACUUAAUAGCUCAGCCUAGUGAAGACAUUGAAUGAUUGAAGUUCAUACAAUCAAUUGGUCAUAGAAAAGAAUGAAAAAAAUUGUAAUUUUCUAUUUUGAAUUGUUCUUAUCAUUACUUUCAGCUAACUUCAUUGCCUUGAACAUGGGUA